GCCAAUUCCUAUAUCAGUUGAAUUUUUUAUUCUUUAAGCAAAUAGUGGGCAUUACAAAGAGCCAUGUUACAGGAUAUCUUCUGAAGUUCAUGGACAAAUUUGGACAGCCAGUUGAAGCACAACUGUUAACCUUCAUGAUAGAACUAGUAUUAACUAAAAAAUAAAUAAAUAAAUGAUACAGGAAUGACCAGUACUGCACAUUCUUGUGUAAAAUCUAUUUAUAAAUUAUUUAUCUAAAAUCUAGUUAAAGGGACACCUCACACACGAAACUGAACAUUGUCAUUGUUUACUUACUGCGUGACAUUCUUUCUUCUGUAGAACACAAAAAGCACUGUCAAUCAUCAGUGAAGUUUAGAAGUUUCACUCUCACACACAAAAGAGUACAAAACGUGUACCUUUAGGGGAUCAACAGCUUGUCACUGGGACAAUACCCUUAAAGGGACCUAACUGUACCAUAUUUACCCAUUAAAGUUCCUUAAGGAUACAUAUUACUUCUCUAAGGUACUAAAAUGCUCAUUUUAGGGGCUGAGAAAGUUCCAGAGACAAUCUAUUGUGACCCUUGUUUGUUUUUUGUUCAGUAUGGUUUAUUUUGUUGACAAUGUUUGAGUUUUUACAAGCUUUCUUUUUCUUUUUUCUUUUCUUUUUUUUUUUUUACAUGCAAAUAAAAAAAAAAUUUGCCGUCUGCACUGCGUGUUUAAUGUACAGUAAGCAAAUGCAAAUGUGUAGGUGUAGGCCUGCACAAGACUAUCUGCUGCCACCUGCUGAUAAAUGAUGCUAAAUACGGUUUUAAACUUUAUUUAAAUGUAUGACACAUUUUGACAACAGUUUCAAAAAGAAAAGGUUGUUAAGUACAUAUAAAGUUAAUUUUACAAUGCAUCAGAAAUGUCAAAUCGAAUUUCAGUCACUCACAUAGUCUUUCAAAGGACUGACAAAUUAUUAUUAUUAUUAUUAUUACGGACUAUUCGAUAGUCUAGUCGGUUCUUAAAAGCUAUGGACCGUUUUUUUCUGUAAUAUUUCCGCAAAAUACAACUAGUACAACACUGGUUCUGAUUAAGAUGAAUCAUGUUAUUACCAGUCUUGUCCUGUAGAUGUCCCUCUCGUAUUUACCUUGCUCGAAGAUACUCUUUUUUUUACGGCUUAUACAUCACAAAAUAAACAGGAAUGGACAUCAGAAGGUGUGUUAAAAAAAGAUACAGUACAACUUAUUGAAAUAUAUAAUCUCAUGUAUAUUUGCCCAGUCAUGUCUCAAUCGCGGAAAGACGUCAGUAAAACAACUUGUGUUUACGUUAAACUGACCUCAGUAAAGUCGUUCAGUAGCUCAGCAUUUAGGGGAAAAAAACUGAUAAGAGGAGUUUAUUGCAAAAUAUGUUAUAUAUUCAUUAUAUUUUUAAAUGUUUGUAUACAACUGUAGUUUAUUGUUAGACCUAAGUCUGAAAAUUAAUAUCAAAUGAAUUUGAUAGUAAUGUACCAACCUGUGCACAGCAUUGAGACAUUUUUUUCCUUUAGAAAAAUUGGCGUAUACCUGAAAUAUUUCCAAAUUAAUCAAUAUCGAAGCAAAUCGAAAGGCGAUCGGAAGUGAAUCAAAACAAGAGCUUGUGAAUCUGAAUCGUGAAAUCUAAAAAUUUUAAGAGCUAGACCUUCAUCACAUGAUAUAUUACAGUUAUCUCUUCUAGUUACACACAUAAAAUAUUGAGCAAAAUAAUUUGUGAAAUAUUAACAAUGUUCAUAUGCAUUUUUUUUUUUGCAUUUACUAGAAGUUUAGUUUGUGGGACAAAUGUAAAACAUAACAGGUUAACAUGUUCCUUUUUUGAAUAGUUAAAUAAUGAUAAUACUUGUUUCUUCUGGACAUGAUGAUGAUUUAAUACUUUUUUCUUUAAGAAAAAACAUCACACUUUCUUGUGAACUUUUUACAGCAUGAAGAUUUAAAUAAGAACCCUGAAAUAAGGUGAUACAUUUUCCUGUAUAAAUUCAGUUUAUCUCAUCUGAACACAAUCUAGUACAGAAAAAAGUACAAGCUCUAUAUUCAGUACAGUGUGUCUCAUUGUAGGAUGUGAGGAGCUGCUGGAUUCAGUGCAGCAGGAAGUAGGAGAGCAGAGAACAGCAGAGGAACAGGAAGCUCUGGGAGACACUCUGAGCACUGUUACACAGGUUCCCCUCACAACAUGAGAUGCUCUCAACAUUUCUAACCGAUGUUGUGGCAUCACAAAAGGAUUUAGAGACACAGCCUUUUACCACCACUGUCUGGCCUCCAGAAGUCGCUGAUGAAAAGAAAGAAAAGAAAAACAAAGGUUGAUUCAGUCUUAAGAUUAACCAGUCCUAUGUGUUCCACUCCCAGCAGGAUUUGAACUGUGGUCUCCAGCAUGGGAGGCGGGCGUGCUAACAAGG